rnacentral:lncRNA from 1 species
GAAAGUUUGUUCAAGGAGAAGAAAGUCUCAAAUCUAUGAUGAAACAAGCUAAAGGUUCUCAUGACAAAGGAGGCAUUGGUGCAGCUUCUACAUCCACAUCAUCAAUGAGAUAUGAAGGGAAAAAUGGCAUUCCAUACAAUUAUGCCAUGCCUUGGGUGACUUGUCACAAGUGUGGAAAGAAGGGCCAUCUUGCUAAUAAUUGUCCAAUGAAGAAUACUC